rnacentral:rRNA from 1 species
AGAGACAGCAGUAGCCGCGGUAAUACGAAGGGUGCAAGCGUUACUCGGAAUUACUGGGCGUAAAGCGUGCGUAGGCGGCUAAUUGAGUCGGAUGUGAAAUCCCCGAGCUUAACUUGGGAAUUGCAUUCGAUACUGGUUAGCUAGAGUGUGGGAGAGGAUGGUAGAAUUCCAGGUGUAGCGGUGAAAUGCGUAGAGAUCUGGAGGAAUACCGAUGGCGAAGGCAGCCAUCUGGCCUAACACUGACGCUGAGGUACGAAAGCAUGGGGAGCAAACAGGAUUAGAUACCCCGGUAGUCCCUGUCUCUUAUAC